rnacentral:tRNA from 1 species
GCCCGGGUAGCUCAAUCGGUAGAGCGUGGGACUUUUAAUCCCAAGGUUGCGGGAUCGUACCCCGCCUCGGGCG